rnacentral:rRNA from 1 species
ACUCCUACGGGAGGCAGCAGUGGGGAAUAUUGCACAAUGGGCGCAAGCCUGAUGCAGCCAUGCCGCGUGUGUGAAGAAGGCCUUCGGGUUGUAAAGCACUUUCAGUCGUGAGGAAGGUAGUGUAGUUAAUAGCUGCAGUAUUUGACGUUAGCGACAGAAGAAGCACCGGCUAACUCCGUGCCAGCAGCCGCGGUAAUACGGAGGGUGCGAGCGUUAAUCGGAAUUACUGGGCGUAAAGCGCAUGCAGGUGGUUGUUAAGUCAGAUGUGAAAGCCCGGGGCUCAACCUCGGAAUAGCAUUUGAAACUGGCAGACUAGAGUACUGUAGAGGGGGUAGAAUUUCAGGUGUAGCGGUGAAAUGCGUAGAGAUCGUGAAGGAAUACCGGUGGCGAAAGGCGGCCCCCUGGACAGAUACUGACACUCAGAUGCGAAAGCGUGGGAGCAAACAGGAUUAGAUACCCCUGGUAGACUGUCA